GUGAAACCACACCAUCCGGUCAUACUCUCUCAUAGAGUAGCUGUACUCCACUGCUGGUUCCAUCCUGGUGCUGUCAGGGUCGCUGUACUAGGACAUGCGUUGCCCUUAACUUGUAAAUCCAAAGAAAUGGUGUCUCCUGUAGCUGUCCUUCUGGCUGUAGGAACGAUCCCGCCGCUUGCCACCAAUUGUAAUGGACCGUUUUGCACAAAAGGGGUAAAAACCGUUUAGGCGAUCGGCCCCCUUUCCAGAGAUGCAGGCACAGCUACUGCAGAACACCAA